rnacentral:rRNA from 1 species
GUGGGGAAUCUUCCGCAAUGGACGAAAGUCUGACGGAGCAACGCCGCGUGAGUGAAGAAGGUUUUCGGAUCGUAAAGCUCUUUCGUUAGGGACGAACGUGCUCUUUGUGAAUAAUGAGGAGUAAUGACGGUACCUAAAUAAGAAGCCACGGCUAACUACGUGCCAGCAGCCGCGGUAAUACGUAGGUGGCAAGCGUUGUCCGGAAUUAUUGGGCGUAAAGCGCGCGCAGGCGGGAUAUCAAGUCUGUCUUAAAAGUGCGAGGCUCAACCUCGUGAGGGGACAGAAACUGGUAUUCUUGAGUGUCGGAGAGGAAAGUGGAAUUCCAAGUGUAGCGGUGAAAUGCGUAGAGAUUUGGAAGAACACCAGUGGCGAAGGCGACUUUCUGGACGAUGUCUGACGCUGAGGCGCGAAAGCUAGGGGAGCGAACGGGAUUAGAAACCCCGGUAGUC